rnacentral:ncRNA from 1 species
AUCAGCGGGGGUGCCCUUCGGGGCUGAGAUCAUACCCUUUGAACCUGAACGGGUUAUGCCGGCGCAGGGAAGCAGACAAU